GACGUAGGGCGCGAGCGUUGUCCGGAUUUAUUGGGCGUAAAGAGCUCGUAGGCGGCUCGUUGCGUCGGCUGUGAAAACCCGCAGCUCAACUGUGGGCUUGCAGCUGAUACGGGCGGGCUUGGAUUCGGUAGGGGAGACUGGAAUUCCUGGUGUAGCGGUGAAAUGACGCAGAUAUCAGGAGGAACACCGGUGGCGAAGGCGGGUCUCUGGACGGUUACUGACGCUGAGGCACGAAAGCGUGGGGAGCAAACAGG
rnacentral:rRNA from 1 species